rnacentral:lncRNA from 1 species
CUGCUGCAGAUAGUUAUAUUUACUCUUCUCCUCCACCACCUUACGAGUAUAAGUCGCCACCGCCACCAUCACCUUCACCACCACCUCCUUAUGUUUACAAAUCGCCACCUCCUCCAUCCCCAUCACCUCCACCACCUUAUGAGCACAAGGCUCCUGCUUAUGAGUACAAGUCACCACCACCACCAACUCCUUCACCACCACCUCCUUAUGUGUACAAGUCACCACCACCGCCAUCUCCUUCACCACCACCUCCUUAUGUGUACAAGUCACCACCACCACCCUCACCUUCCCCACCACCACCAUACUACUACAAGAGUCCUCCACCACCUUCUCCUUCACCUCCACCUCCUUACUACUACAAAUCUCCUCCACCACCCUCACCUUCCCCACCACCACCAUACUAUUACAAGUCUCCUCCACCACCAUCUCCCUCACCUCCACCACCAUAUUACUACAAGUCUCCCCCACCACCCUCACCCUCCCCUCCACCCCCAUAUAUACACAAGGAUCCACCAUACUAUUACAAGUCCCCACCACCACCUUCACCAUCUCCUCCACCACCAUACUACUACAAAUCUCCCCCACCCCCUUCACCGUCUCCUCCACCACCAUACUACUACAAAUCUCCUCCUCCUCCAUCUCCUAUUCCCAAAACACCUUACUACUACAAAUCUCCCCCACCCCCUUCACCAUCUCCUCCACCACCAUACUACUACAAAUCUCCCCCACCCCCUUCACCGUCUCCUCCACCACCAUACUACUAUAAAUCUCCCCCACCACCGUCACCCUCUCCACCACCACCUUACUAUUACAAGUCUCCUCCCCCACCUUCACCAUCUCCUCCACCACCAUACUACUACAAAUCUCCUCCUCCUCCAUCUCCUAUUCCCCAUACACCUUACUAUUACAAAUCUCCCCCACCACCUUCACCAUCUCCUCCACCACCAUACUACUACAAAUCUCCUCCUCCUCCAUCUCCUAUUCCCCGUACACCUUACUAUUACAAAUCUCCCCCACCACCUUCACCAUCUCCUCCACCACCAUACUACUACAAAUCCCCUCCUCAUCCAUCUCCCAUUCCCCAUACACCUUACUAUUACACAUCUCCCCCACCACCUUCACCGUCUCCUCCACCACCAUAUUACUACAAAUCUCCUCCCCCUCCGUCUCCUAUUCCCCACACACCUUACUACUACAAGUCCCCACCACCACCAAAGGUCCUUCCACCACCAUACUAUUACAAUUCUCCUCCUCCACCUGUUGUGUAUCCUCACCCAUAUCCCUACCACCACUCACUUAUUGUGAGGGUAGUCGGUAAAGUCUACAGCUUCAGAUGUUAUGAUUGGAAUUAUCCUGCAAAGUCUCAUAACAAGAAACAUCUCAAAGGUACAUUACAUUUCUUAGGACCGGACCUCUUUAGAGUAAUGUGUUUAGAGAUAAUGCACAAUUUUUUAUUUUUUUAUCUCGUAAAGGUUUAUUUAUUAUAAUCACAAUUUCACUUUUGUCAAAAAGAAAAACAAUUUUACUAUAUAUAGUUUUAAUCAUUAACAUUUUGAUGUAAAAAGAAUACAAUUCUCUAUUACCUUUUUACUAUGAUAUAUAUACAAAGAUUAUUCAAAUCUAUAUAUCCAACCUAAUUUCCAUCCAAAAAAAUAGAAAACAUAGGGUGCUUUGAACGCCUGCAGCAUCACAUGAAUAAAUAAAAACAAUCAAUAAUCAACCUUGUUCUAAUUUAUUUUAGACAGCGAUUGUUAAGCAUACUGCUCUUUUAAUUACAUUUUUUUUAAAGAUGCUCUUUUAAUUAUAUUGUCCUAAUAUAAUAUGUGUCUUUAUAUAUUACUUGUCGUAAACUAAUUUUAUUAUGGGUGCAGGAGCUGUUGUUGAGGUGACAUGCAAAGCCGGGAGCAAAAUUGUCAAGGCUUAUGGAAAAACUAAGAACAAUGGAAAGUAUGCCAUCACAGUUAAGGACUUUGACUAUGUCAAAUAUGGUUCGACAGUGUGCAAGGCUGCCCUAUAUGCUCCACCUAAGGGUUCACCCUUCAACAUACCUACAAAGCUAAAUCAAGGAACAAAGUUGUACUUGAAAUCCAAAGACAAGUACGAGGUUGUGCUCAAGGCUAAGCCAUUUGCUUAUGCUUCAAAGAAACAUUUCAAAGAAUGUGAGAAGCCUAAGCCUUCACCAACUCCUUACUACUACAAAUCACCUCCACCUCCCUCACCAGUUUACAAAUACAACUCACCACCUCCACCGGUCCAUUAUUAUUCACCUCCAUACACCUACAAGUCACCUCCUCCCCCUGUGAAAGCGGCACCAACUCCUUACUACUACAAAUCACCUCCACCACCCGCACCGGUUUACAAGUACAACUCACCCCCUCCACCGGUCCAUUAUUAUUCACCACCAUAUACCUAUAAGUCACCUCCUCCCCCUGUGAAAGCGGCACCAACUCCUUACUACUACAAAUCACCUCCACCUCCCGCACCGGUUUACAAGUACAACUCCCCACCUCCACCGGUCCAUUAUUAUUCACCUCCAUAUACCUACAAGUCACCUCCUCCCCCUGUGAAAGUGGCACCAACUCCUUACUACUACAAAUCACCUCCACCACCCGCACCGGUUUACAAGUACAACUCACCACCUCCACCGGUCCAUUAUUAUUCUCCACCAUACUACUACAAGUCACCACCCCCACCAUCUCCAUCACCUCCUCCACCAUACUAUUUCAAAUACUAUUACAAGUCCCCACCUCCACCAUCACCAUCCCCUCCUCCACCUUAUUAUUACAAAUCUCCUCCUCCACCAAAACAAAUUUCACACCCUCCAUACUACUAUAAGUCACCACCCCCACCAUCACCAUCACCUCCUCCACCAUACUAUUAUAAGUCUCCACCUCCACCAUCACCAUCUCCCCCACCACCUUAUUAUUAUAAGUCACCACCCCCACCAUCCCCGUCCCCUCCUCCACCAUACUACUACAAGUCUCCACCUCCACCUAAAGAAAUAUCACAUCCUCCAUAUAACUAUAAGUCACCACCCCCACCAUCACCAUCCCCUCCCCCUCCAUACUAUUACAAAUCUCCUCCACCACCAUCACCAUCACCACCACCUCCCUACUAUUACAAAUCACCUCCACCACCAUCACCAUCACCUCCCCCUCCAUACUAUUACAAAUCUCCUCCACCACCAUCACCAUCACCACCACCUCCUUACUAUUACAAAUCACCUCCACCACCAUCCCCAUCACCACCACCUCCAUACUACUACAAAAGUCCCCCUCCACCAUCUCCAUCUCCUCCAUCCCCAUAUUACUACAAAUCUCCACCACCACCAUCACCAUCCCCACCCCCUCCCUACUAUUACAAAUCACCUCCACCUCCCUCACCAUCACCGCCACCUCCUUACUAUUACAAAUCACCUCCACCUCCCUCACCAUCACCGCCACCUCCUUACUAUUACAAAUCUCCCCCACCUCCAUCUCCAUCUCCACCACCUCCUUACCACUAUCAAAGUCCUCCUCCACCAUCUCCCAUUUCUCAUCCUCCCUACUACUACAAAUCCCCUCCACCACCAUCGCCGUCUCCUCCACCUCCUUACCACUAUGUGAGUCCUCCCCCACCAGUAAAGUCACCUCCACCACCAACUUAUAUCUAUGCUUCACCACCACCACCUCACUACAACUAAGCUCAAAGAGCAGAAGCUCCGUUCAUUAUAAAUCAUGUAAGUUUAUCAUCUUCAAUUUUCUGAAUGUGUGCGUGUGUAUUUGUUUUUUUGUUACAAGAUACUAACAAAAUUCUUUUCUUAUUUAUGUUCAGGUUUUAGUUUUCAUCUAGGAAUAAAGGCAAGCUCCAUUUGGAGUAAAGUGAAACUUCUAGCUUCGUGUCCGAAUUCGUUAAAUAAAUGUCGGGAUGUAUCGUCUUUGAGCUAUAAUAUUUCUGAUCCAGACAAUAUCUAUUUUGUUUCUUUGGUGGCAAUCUUGCACUUCCUGGUCUUAGUCUAUUCAAGUGACAGACAAAUCAAAAGGGAGAAGCGAGAUUAAUUUAUUUGUGAUCUCUUUGAUUUAUUUGUGCAUAUAUCAAUAUGAACGUGUAUGAUAUUUUUCUAUUUAUUGAAGAUUUUUUUACUGUAACCUGUUAUUGUGUUUGUCAAAAGGUGUUAAUAAAGAAUCACAUUCAAUUUCUGUUAAAUUAUCAGUAUUUGUUUCUUUCUAACAACUACCAUUCAUGCAAAUGUGGCUAUUAAAAAAAGCUCCAAUGACACAUAAAAAGCUUCCAAACAAUAUAUAAACAAAGAUGCAUUGUUUUCUGUUAAGAAGGGGACAGGGUUACGGUUACUUGUGUACCAAGUUAGUUAUCCAUGCUUUCUUGUUCAUAGGAUUUAUAUGGUGUAGUUGCACUUAGUUGCUAAAUGUAUGCAAGCUUUUCCUUUCUAUAAAUAAGCACACCUACUAUCAUUCUUCUCCACAUUCCUUUCUACUCUUCUAUCAUGAAUUGUUCAUCCACAUAAGAUGGUCACAGAGCACACCUAAUACUCUGCUACUGGUGUAUCAGUUCCUUUCCACCAGAAACUUAUGAUCUCUAAUUGAAAGAGAUCCUAAAGUUUUAAGAUUUCUACAAAAUACAUUAUUCUCAUUUUUGUACAAGUAUGAUACAAUUAUUCCCAAGUAUUAUUUAUUCUAAGGAAUAGAAUUUAGUUGUGGUUUCUCUAUUUAACCAACAUUUAUUUUUAAAUAACUAAAUUUAAAAAAAAAAUCCUGAAAUUAUUAAGUACAUACCUAACACAUUGUAAAAUUUUGUUCCCAAAGAAAAUAUUUUUGGCAAUAGAAUUUUCAGGAACUUCAUUCCUAGGAAUAUAAUUCUAUACUAAGAGAAGAGCUUAAGCAUUGAUACAUAACAAGACCAAUCCAUAUCCUAAUCACAAUCCUACUUUCACUAAAUACUUUCACUUAAGUGUGGUCUUGGAAAGGACAAAUGAAGAAAGACAUUCCAGAGGUAUGGUAAGGGACAAUAUCUGCAGUUAUGCACAUAUUGCAAGAUUGUGAGGAACUACCGGACUGAUUUGAUUCACCAAAAAAUUUGGAAUAAAUAUUUCAGCCCAGAACUCAGACAAUGACUGGAUUGGAACCUUUCAGCUUCUAAUAUCGGUACUGUCCAAGGAAAUAGUCAUUCUCUUUUUGGAGUAGCUGUGAAGGAUUUAUGGAAAGAUAGAACUAAGCUGGUCUUUUCUAGAAACACCGCGAUUGGAACUACUCUAUUUUGGCUUGUAGCCAAUCCGGCUAAGUUUAUUAACAAUGUAGUUUGUACUCAAGCUCACAGUCACGAUGUUGUCAGCAACAGUGGGCAUAUUGUUUAGGUAGCCUGGAAUUUUCCUCCCCAACACUUCUUCAAAGUGAAUAUGAUGGAUCUCUACGGGAUUAUGUUAGUUUCCAGGAUCGAACUCAGAACCUCCUGAUUAUAACUCCUUCAAUGUAUGUCCCUUACCCACGUGGGGCCUCGGCUGUAAUUGUUAACAUGGUAAAAUUUGGCUCUUCCAAUAAUGGUUUUAUCCAAACUCGAGGUUGUUUAUCGUCUCCAACAAUCAGAUUGGAGAAUACUAGUGGUUCAUGCAUUUGAACAAACCAACUGUUGUGCAGAUUUUCUAGUUGAUUUUGUUUUUCCUUUUUUGAGUAUUUUAUUAGCCAAUGAUAUAAGAGGUUGUAGCCUACCUCUUUUGAUUUCUUAAGACAAUCACUUUUGCAUUAGAAAAAAACGACCCUACAUAAAAUUAAUGAUUGAAUUAAGAUAUAACUUCAGUUUGAAAUAUUGUAAAAUUCUAUACCACCAAAAACUGAGAAUUUUAGAACCAUACAGGUUGGUGGAGUGGUCAUCCAGAUAACUUUAACAUAAUUAACAGUCCAAAAAGUAAAUAGCUUUAUCCUUUAUUUUCAAUCUGAUGUGAUUUACUCUUAUCUGUUAAACAUUAUAAUUAAGAAUCCAAAGGGAACACUCACCUAAUCUCUCUCUUUUUUCUAGCUUUUUCACUAAACCACUGUGUCUGUGGUUACCACAUUUCCUUAUGGAAUCAAUAUCCAAUUUAUGUUAAAAACCAUUUCUACAUUUUGUGUUAAAAAUGAUCUAAACAAAGAUGAUUUAUUUCUCUUAAAUUCAACAUAGAUCAUAUUUACAUGGUUCAAACUUUCUAUUACACGGCAUUGACUUAGUUGCUUCACAUGGGGACACAACUAAUGCAUAUAUUAUUUUAUAUGCUUAUAGUAAUUUUAACAAGUGGCAAUGGGGCAUAUGUUUUGUCAAAAAAACACAAAAAACAGGAGGCAUGUGCAACUGAAGUCACUGCCAGCUUGGCACUAAGAUAUAGUAAAAUAAUUGACAUUUGAAGAAAACAAAGACGUUGCUACAUUUCUAUUCAAACAAGCGACAUCAAUAUCAGACAAUGGUGCUACAUUUAAUAAUACUACAGCUAUCCCCAUAAGCACCUCUUAGAAAGAAAAAAAAAUAUCCAUUAAAUUAAUGUUGGAAGAGUUAGCAACAUGUCCUCUCCCAAAAAAACUCAUGUUUGAUUCCUAGAGUCGUCCAUUUCGAAAGAAGCUCAACCCUGAUAAUAAAAACCUAGAUGUUAUGCUGCAGACUUAAAGAUCAAUUUCAUAAUGGAUCCAAAGGGCCUAAGCUGUGUGGGAUACUUAAGGGGGUAUAUUGAGGCUAAGGGUCAAAGAUCUUAAUUAUGGUCGGUUAAAAAAAGAAGAAAAAAAAAUUAUCUCUAAAUAUAAAGUCAACAAUAUUUCAAAUUGCAAGAUACAUUUAUUUAUUUUUUAAAUAUGUAUAUACCUCUUAUUAAUACUUACUAAUUUGUUUUGAGUGAUAAAAAGUUACGAGUUAGACAGAUCAGCACAUAAAAAAAGUAUUUGAAAAACAUCUACCAACAAAAUAAACACAUUAAAAACAAUACUACUUUUUUACAAUACUGUAUGUGAAAAUGACAAAAUCUUGAAAAAGAUGGAGGUAACAUGUACUCUUUUUUUUUUAGAGGGGAGCAUGUACUUUUCCACUAACAAUGUUGAUAAGAAACAUAUAAAAUACUAUUAGAGAAAGAAAAAAAAUAAUAAAUAAAGAAAUAUAUAAAAUACUGAGGAAUGACUCACUCAUGUCAAAUUUUAGCAAGGGAGAAGUGAUAUCACAUCAUUUUAGAAGAGGAAUGAGAAUAGAUAGAUCUAAUUUUUCUAGUAAGUUUGAAUAGUAGAAUCAUACUUCUUUGUCUUUUGUGAAAAUUUCAUAUUAUGGGAUCUAUUACUAGAAUACAGGUGAUUUUAUUCUGGAAGAUUGACUUUUUAUUAAAAUAAAAUAAAAGUACAUUUUUUAUUUCCAAAUGCUUAGUUGUUCAUUUAUAAAUAUUACAUUAUCCAACAGCACCAAACCCUAUUUCAUAACGGUACUCUGCACGUUUCAUUCAUUUACUGGUGCCUUAGUUUUUUGUUACAAACAGACAUUGAUCAGAGGAACAAAUGUAGAGACAAAUUGAAGAUAAUAUAUCACAUAAUAUUGUAGACACACCUUCACAUACAAAUGGGGUAAAGUCCCUCAUAGUAGUAUUAGAAAUAACACUUAGAGUAAAAUUUUGCUAAAUUUAACAUGAAAAUAAGUGUAAUGUAUUUUAUAGGCAGCUAUACAUAAUUAUUAAUUAGAACAAUUUUUUACACUGUCAAACAAAAAUUGAACAAUUUUUUACUAGCUUUAUGCUUUAUGAUGUUUUGAUUCCAUGUGCACAUUUCAAUUUUAGAACUAUUCCUUUCUAUGUUACUGAAAUAAUUCUAUCAUUAGGCAUUGACAUUUCCAUUAUGCGUGCACGUUAAAGUGUUUUCCCAAACAGAGAAAUAUUAAGAAAGGUUAAACUUUUGACUUAAAGACACAACUAAAAUAAGAUCCAAGGAAAACCCCAUUGAUUAUUUCUUGCACAAAAUUAAAAACCCCAUUGAUUAUUUCUUGCACAAAAUUAAAAUGCUAAUAAUUUUUCCUGGUCUAUAUUUUUCUCCUUCCGGGAAAUGGCAACAUCACAUGUUCAUCUCAUAAUUGAGAAAACACAUGUCUGGGAAAAUAUCUUAAAGAAAAGGCAGUAAAGUAAUAAAAAGUGCACCAAAUAGAGAUUAACUAGUACUCUUUGCAUGUCAACUAAGUGGUAUAAUUAUGUAUAUCACAUUCUUAAUAUUGAUUAUCUUGAUUGCACGAUAAGCCCCUCAAAUUGCUCAAUCGAUGAUUGCUUGAUAAGCCCAUCAAAUUGCCCAAUCGAUCGAAUCGUAACUUUCGAUAGACAUUUUUUUUAAGAAAACCCAAUUGGAUCAUAACUCCCCAUAGUCAUUUAUUUGAAAUUGUGAGCAAUUUGAUAACUUAUUGAGCAAUCACCAUUGAUUUUAGUCUCAAUUUAUCCUAAUGUUGUAACCCUGGAAUAAUGGAACAGUGAGUAAAUUUGGUUUCUCCGUCUCAAAAUAAGUGUCACAAUUUAACCAUGUGCACUACUCAUCAAAUCUACUUUGACAACAUUUUUUUUACUAAUAUAUAAAGACAAUGUUAGUACAUUACAUGUUCGAUUUGUCUUAGUUAAUGUUUUUAAAAUAUCGACUUUAUUAUAAUUUUUCUUAAUAGACAAUCAAAAAUAUCAAUUGUCAAAAUUGUGUAUUGAUAUGUAUGAAAAUCAAACUAUAACACUUACUUUGAGACGAAGAGAAUAACUAUUAAAAACUAAUGUUCAAAUAGAAAGAAAAGAAAACAAAGAUUCCAUACAAAGCUUGCAAAAUAGCUACAAUCAUAACCUAGAACAAAAAUCAUGACCACACACUAUAUCCAUUUUCCUUUUCCUAAAAAGCAAUUGAAGAUAAAAAAAAAAAAAAUAAUAAAUAAAAAAAAAAAAAAAAAAAAAAAAAANACCACCAUACUACUACAAAUCCCCACCUCCACCAUCGCCUUCUCCUCCACCACCAUACUACUACAAAUCCCCACCUCCACCAUCGCCUUCUCCUCCACCACCAUACUACUACAAAUCCCCACCUCCACCAUCGCCUUCUCCUCCACCACCAUACUACUACAAAUCCCCACCUCCACCAUCGCCUUCUCCUCCACCACCAUACUACUACAAAUCCCCACCUCCACCAUCGCCUUCUCCUCCACCACCAUACUACUACAAAUCCCCACCUCCACCAUCGCCUUCUCCUCCACCACCAUACUACUACAAAUCCCCACCUCCACCAUCGCCUUCUCCUCCACCACCAUACUACUACAAAUCCCCACCUCCACCAUCGCCUUCUCCUCCACCACCAUACUACUACAAAUCCCCACCUCCACCAUCGCCUUCUCCUCCACCACCAUACUACUACAAAUCCCCACCUCCACCAUCGCCUUCUCCUCCACCACCAUACUACUACAAAUCCCCACCUCCACCAUCGCCUUCUCCUCCACCACCAUACUACUACAAAUCCCCACCUCCACCAUCGCCUUCUCCUCCACCACCAUACUACUACAAAUCCCCACCUCCACCAUCGCCUUCUCCUCCACCACCAUACUACUACAAAUCCCCACCUCCACCAUCGCCUUCUCCUCCACCACCAUACUACUACAAAUCCCCACCUCCACCAUCGCCUUCUCCUCCACCACCAUACUACUACAAAUCCCCACCUCCACCAUCGCCUUCUCCUCCACCACCAUACUACUACAAAUCCCCACCUCCACCAUCGCCUUCUCCUCCACCACCAUACUACUACAAAUCCCCACCUCCACCAUCGCCUUCUCCUCCACCACCAUACUACUACAAAUCCCCACCUCCACCAUCGCCUUCUCCUCCACCACCAUACUACUACAAAUCCCCACCUCCACCAUCGCCUUCUCCUCCACCACCAUACUACUACAAAUCCCCACCUCCACCAUCGCCUUCUCCUCCACCACCAUACUACUACAAAUCCCCACCUCCACCAUCGCCUUCUCCUCCACCACCAUACUACUACAAAUCCCCACCUCCACCAUCGCCUUCUCCUCCACCACCAUACUACUACAAAUCCCCACCUCCACCAUCGCCUUCUCCUCCACCACCAUACUACUACAAAUCCCCACCUCCACCAUCGCCUUCUCCUCCACCACCAUACUACUACAAAUCCCCACCUCCACCAUCGCCUUCUCCUCCACCACCAUACUACUACAAAUCCCCACCUCCACCAUCGCCUUCUCCUCCACCACCAUACUACUACAAAUCCCCACCUCCACCAUCGCCUUCUCCUCCACCACCAUACUACUACAAAUCCCCACCUCCACCAUCGCCUUCUCCUCCCCCACCUUACUAUUACAAAUCCCCACCGCCACCUUCACCAUCUCCCCCACCACCCUACUACUAUAAAUCACCCCCACCACCUUCACCAUCUCCUCCACCACCAUACUACUACAAAUCACCCCCACCGCCAUAUGAACACAAGACUAAACCAUACUAUUACAAGUCUCCUCCACCACCAUAUGAACACAAGACUAAACCAUACUAUUACAAGUCCCCACCACCACCUUCACCAUCUCCUCCACCACCAUACUAUUACAAGUCCCCACCACCACCUUCACCGUCUCCACCCCCACCAUACUACUACAAAUCACCUCCUCCUCCAUCACCUAUUCCCCAUACACCUUACUACUACAAGUCCCCACCACCACCUAAGGUUCUUCCACCACCAUACUAUUACAACUCUCCUCCUCCACCUGUUGUGUAUCAUCACCCUCAUCCCUACCACCAUGCAUUGAUCGUGAAGGUAGUGGGUAACGUCUACAGCUUCAGAUGUUAUGACUGGGAGUAUCCUGAAAAGUCUCAUAACAAGAAACACCUCAAAGGUACAUCACAUUACAUUUCUCAAUUCUUUCAUUUUUAUAGAUUUUAUGUACAUCACUAUUGGCUCGUAGUUUCUCAAUACCAUUACAACUAAACUGCAAGUUUCAGUAAUGAGAUUCAUAUAGACAUGUUUUUAUUAACAUCUUUGUUUCUUAGAAAUUAUACAAACACUUAAUUUAGGUUUCUCCAUGUCCAAUAAAGUAAACAAUUGAUAUAUCAAAUUAACAUAUAUGAUAUAUCAUUUACCUCAUUAAAAUUUAAUAAUCCUGCCUAAUAUAAAGAUUCGGUUUGAAAAUGAUAGUUUAGUGAGCUUCUUUAUAAUAACACUCUCCAAUAUAUUAUGUUUUAAAAACAAUUAUAUUUCUAUUUGUCUAAAUUCAAAUUUGUUAUGGGACAGGUGCUGUUGUUGAAGUGACAUGCAAAGCCGGGAGCAAAAUCAUCAAGGCUUACGGUAAAACUAAGAUCAAUGGAAAGUAUGCCAUCACAGUUAAGGACUUUGACUAUGUCAAAUAUGGUUCAACAGUGUGCAAGGCUGCCCUUUAUGCUCCACCUAAGGGUUCACCCUUCAACAUACCUACAAAGCUAAACCAAGGAACAAACUUGUACUUGAAAUCCAAAGACAAGUACGAGGUUGUGCUCAAGGCUAAGCCAUUUGCUUAUGCUUCAAAGAAACAUUUCAAAGAAUGUGAGAAGUCCAAGCCUUCACCAACUCCUUACUACUACAAAUCACCUCCACCUCCCUCACCAGUUUACAAGUAUAACUCACCACCUCCACCCGUCCAUUAUUACUCACCUCCAUAUUACUACAAGUCACCUCCUCCCCCCGUGAAAGCGGCACCAACUCCUUACUACUACAAAUCACCUCCACCUCCCGCACCAGUUUACAAGUACAACUCCCCACCUCCGCCAGUCCAUUACUAUUCACCUCCAUACACCUAUAAGUCACCUCCUCCUCCUGUGAAAGCAGCACCAACUCCUUACUACUACAAAUCACCUCCACCUCCCGCACCGGUUUACAAGUACAACUCACCACCUCCACCGGUCCAUUAUUAUUCUCCACCAUACUACUACAAGUCACCACCCCCACCAUCUCCAUCACCUCCUCCACCAUACUAUUUCAAAUACUAUUACAAGUCCCCACCUCCACCAUCACCAUCCCCUCCUCCACCUUAUUAUUACAAAUCUCCUCCUCCACCAAAACAAAUUUCACACCCUCCAUACUACUAUAAGUCACCACCCCCACCAUCACCAUCACCUCCUCCACCAUACUAUUAUAAGUCUCCACCUCCACCAUCACCAUCUCCCCCACCACCUUAUUAUUAUAAGUCACCACCCCCACCAUCCCCGUCCCCUCCUCCACCAUACUACUACAAGUCUCCACCUCCACCUAAAGAAAUAUCACAUCCUCCAUAUAACUAUAAGUCACCACCCCCACCAUCACCAUCCCCUCCCCCUCCAUACUAUUACAAAUCUCCUCCACCACCAUCACCAUCACCACCACCUCCCUACUAUUACAAAUCACCUCCACCACCAUCACCAUCACCUCCCCCUCCAUACUAUUACAAAUCUCCUCCACCACCAUCACCAUCACCACCACCUCCUUACUAUUACAAAUCACCUCCACCACCAUCCCCAUCACCACCACCUCCAUACUACUACAAAAGUCCCCCUCCACCAUCUCCAUCUCCUCCAUCCCCAUAUUACUACAAAUCUCCACCACCACCAUCACCAUCCCCACCCCCUCCCUACUAUUACAAAUCACCUCCACCUCCCUCACCAUCACCGCCACCUCCUUACUAUUACAAAUCUCCCCCACCUCCAUCUCCAUCUCCACCACCUCCUUAUCACUAUCAAAGUCCUCCUCCCCCAUCUCCCAUUUCUCAUCCUCCCAACUACUACAAAUCCCCUCCACCACCAUCGCCAUCUCCUCCACCUCCAUACCAUUACGUGAGUCCUCCCCCACCAGUAAAGUCACCUCCACCACCAGCUUACAUCUAUGCUUCUCCACCACCACCAAUCUACAACUAGCCUCACAACACCAAAUCACCAUUGGUGAUAAAUUAUGUAAGUUUACCAUUAUUGCAAUCAUAACACUUGCAUCUUUUCCCACCCAUACACACACAUAUCACAUGUUUAAAUUUUAUGUACUAAUCAACAAAAACUCUUAUUUGUUUUCAGGUUCUAGUUUUCAUCAAGGAAUAAAGUCGUCCAUUUGGAGCAAAGUGAAACAACUAGCUCUCUGUCCAAAUUAUUUGAUGGCCAUCUUGCACUUCCUAAUCUUAUUGUGUUCAAGUGACUGGCUAAUCAAAAUGUGGAAGCGAGAUUAAUUUAUUUAUUAUCUCUUUGAUUUAUAUGUGCAUAGAUUGAUAUUUCCCUGUAUGAUAACUUUAUUUUUAUUGAGGAUUUUUUGUAUUGUACCCUGUUGUGUUUGUUAAAAUAAGUAUUAUCAAUGAAGAAUUACCUUCAAUUUCUUUCCACCUAAUUAGUUCUUGUUUCUUUUAAACAACUAUCAAGCAUGUCAGCAAGGCAAAGCAUACCACUACCACCAUAUCACCAUAAAAUGCAUCAUUAUUCAUUGCAUAUGAGAUAAAUAUAUGCAAACUAUAUCUAAUUAUUAAGAGGGGGAAAAAACUAAUGUACAGAAAAUGUACCUCAAGGCUUCAGGAUAGGUGUUAGAAACCCAAGCUUUUAAUAGCUCUCUCCAAGAAUCCUCGUUUCUACAACUUAAGUUCCUAUAUUAAUCAAUUAUAAUAUAUGAGAAACUUAUGUUGUCGACCAACAAUACAGGUGACUCAAAAAAAUAUUAUAUUUUAAAAGUCAAACCUUGAGCUAUACACAUGUAAGCAUCAUCAAUAUAAGUUUCACCAUUGUUCAUGUGUAUUAUUCCAUAAAUUUUGGCUCAGUUGAGGUUACUACACUGGUUUUCUUCCUAUUGUAUCAUAUAUUUAAAUACUAUGGUGCGUUUGGAUAAACAGCUUAUGUCACAAGCACUUAUCAUGAUAAGCGCUUUUGUAUAAACUUGCAUGAGUUAUUUUCAUAUCAAAAGAUAAACAAGAACAUUAAAUUGUUUUUGUAUAUUACUUAAGUUGUUUUCAUAAGCUAUGUUGAAGAACUAAUGAAAAUUAGCUGAAAAAAGCUUAUGCUGUUUUCAUGAAUUCUCCCUAACAGUCUCACAAUAUUUAUGUCAGUAUAUAAUCAAAUAAGUCAAUCCAAACAGGCCCCACGUCUUCUAUAUUAGACCAUAUGACAAUUUCUUUUCGGUUUAUUCUCAUUAAAAGUUAAAAAUGGUGUAUUUGAAUCCUAUAAUUCUUUGUCAUACAAGUGCAUUCAAAUACAAUUUGAAGCCAUGGUGAAAGUGUUUAAUUUGCAGAGCUCACCAACAUAAUCUAACGUAUAUUUGGAUUGACUUAUUUGAACUUAUCUACUAGCACAAAUACUUGUGAGAUUGUUUACGAAAGUUUAUGGAAAAAACUUACAACACACACAUAAGUUGUUUUCAGCUUAUUUCCAUAAACUCUUCAAAAUAGCUUAUGAAACAACUUAUAUGAUAAGAGCUUAUUCUAUAAGCGCUUAAUUAAGUUUUAAUCCAUUCUUCUUCUACCUUCAUCUUCAGUUAACAAAACGAAUACAAUUUCUGAAAAUUCAAAGUUCAAACACCAAAAAAUACCUAAAAUGAAAAAUUGUUGAAUGAAAGCGCAAAUAGAACCUGGCAAUGCGUUCGAGAAGCACGUGGAGGAGGUGGCGUGGCAGAAGAAUGUGUGGAUUUCAUCGGAGAAUUUCAGUUCUGCUCGCGCCAUUUAAGAAAUUUUGUAAACUUAAAGUUUAGUUUAAGUUUACCCCUCUUUUUUUUUCAUUUUAAAGGAGUUUACCCUACAAAUUUUUGUAUGUUUUUGCCACGUUUACAAAUGAUUUAAUAUGUUUUUAUCCUAUAUAUAUUUAGGGAUGUAAAUGGAUAUUAUGAUGCGGAUAGUGUAAUAUUUGUGUCUGUUCCAUUGGAUAAAUAUGAAAUCUGUACCAUAUUCAUAUCGUACGGAUAUCUGUUUAGCGGGUAAUCCACAGAUUUUGAGAUAUUUGAGUGUUUAUAGAUAUAUUCAUUGAUAACAUUUAUAAAAAUAAAAUAAAAAAUUUGUUUAAUUCUUUUUAGAGACAAAGGUUCUUCAUAUGCAUUUUCUUUUCUUUUUAACAAAACAUAAUAUUCAUACAUUAUAAUAACAACAAAGAUCAUUGACUCAACAAAAACAUAAAUAAAGUUGCUUACAUUUAAUAAAAAUAAAGUUAUUUGAUUUAACAAAAACAAAGCUCUUGCAUCAACAAUCCCAACCACUUUCACUUCCUUUUAAAAGAGUGUAAUAACAAAUAACACUCACAAUACAUAAGGUUUUUUUUUAGGAAGUUGAAUGAUAUUAAGGUUAUUUAUGUAAUUUACUCGGUUUAAUAGUCGGUAUGGAUAUCCACGGGUGUGGAUACCGUUAAAUCCGCAUCCAUAUCCAUUAAUUAGCAGGUAGUUAAAAAAUUCAUUUAUUUUAUCCAUUGAUAUCCAUUAAGGUAUCCGCUCCGUGCCCGUGACGGAUUAUAUCCGCGGAUAUUCACGGGUGCGAAUUUUUUUGUCAUCCCUAUAUAUAUAUAUUAGUCUUAAACUUGACUAUUUUUUAUUAUCAUUUGGUGCUAUAAUUAAAAAAAAAAAAAAAAUAUUGUUCGUCUGAGCCAUUUAGCUACAGGCUAUUACUUUUCUCAUUCUACAUGUUUCUCGCUUGUCCUAUUUUUUUUUUAAUACUUUUUGCUCGAAUUCUAAAAUCUAAACUCCUAUAGGGAUUUUUGGAUUCUAUAAUCCAAAACACGUUGAAACCCAAAAAUAAAAUAAAAAACUAUGUAAUUGAAAUCAAAGAUCUCUACUGCUAAUGCACGUUUUCCACAAAAACUACAAAGUAAUUUCAAAGUAAUUUCACAAAAACUAUCGUAUGAAUAGACAGCAAUGAGCAUGAUAUCAUAAAUAACUCAAAACUUUAUAAAAAUAAAAAUAAAAAAAUGAAUAAGAAGAUGUGAAGAAUGAAUGUAAACGUUGGAGGAUACAAAGCUAUUUAUAGACAUAAAAUGUUCCUAGACUCUAAAGUGGGUCAAAGAAAACAUGAAUAACAUUUACAACUUAAUUAACACAUCACAGAUCAUUCAAACCUUUGGUGUAACAUCAUCGUAUGUAGUCUGGCACAGUUUGGAUUAUACAAUCUGAACAUUUCAUAAGCAGUUUGGAUUAUAUAAUUUGAACUAUCCCAGACUGUGUUUCAGCUUGAUGUUUGGAGGGUUUUGUAUGGUGGAUAACACAAAAAAAUGACAUAAUUCAACAACGUAAAAAAUAUAAUAAGAUAAGUGAUGAUGAAAGGGAAGCCGCACCAAGAGGUGUUUUUGAAUUCGAUCCAGUUGUCCUAUCAACUGACAUAUAUUUCUAUUGGCAUGGCAGCAAGAUCAAGUUUCAAAACGACCUUUUUGUGUUCAUAUCCGCAAAAUAAUGAUGAAAGGCAAGGUAUUCCAAGAAGUGUUUUUUAACUUGAUCUCGCUACCUUGUCAACUAACAUAUUUCUAUAGACAGUGCAGCAAGAUCAAAUUUAUAACAACCUCUAGGUGUUCAUAUCCGCUAAGUAAUUUUUCGUAGUUCUUUAUUGUGAUCUACAAAAAAAAAAAAAAAAAAGAUCUAUUUAUAUAAGUUUAUGUGCGUCGCGAACCAGAUAAAUUUUCGAUGCAUUGUGGACCAAAAAAAAAUUCUAAUUCGGACUAAACAAGAUGAAUUUUCCUUCACCCUAGAAAGUAAAAGUUUUGACAAACACAAGACUGAUUAUACAUUAAAUACAACAAUCAGCCAAACUAAACAUAUUAGAUCACAAAUCUUUCAAACUAACUUCUUCAUUGGAUUCCUCCAAGAGAGCCUUGAUUUAUUUGUAUGUUCUAGGCCGAAUCAAUUUUUUUUAAUAUCUUUGAAAGGGCCCGACCAAGAAAACAUCCAACUCAAUUGGUCAUUUAAUACCGUACUGACCAAAUAUUAAAACAUUAUUCUCUUAUCGCAUUGUUCCUGAGUUUAAUCUAGGUAAACUAGAUGCUUUCAUCUUAGCCAAUCGAUGGACUUUGAUGCUCAACAUUGUCCAUCCUUCUUGUGUCUGUGUUGUUGAGUCGACGGUUGAUUUAGUCCAGCUAAUAUUGGACUUUCCCCCAUUGUAGUAAACUACAGUUAGUUUGGUGUCAGAUCAAUGAUUGAAGUGUUCAUGAUUAUUUGGUGUGGUUUAUAGCAAAUGAAAACAAGCACACCAAUUUAUAGAAGUUUAUGUGCGCCGCGGACUACAAUAACUAUUGGUGCAAUGAAGACCAUAGAAAAAGCAUGUACUUGGCUGAUUUGGAUUAUAUAAUUUACAUUGUCCCUCACCCUACAAAGUACAAAUUUCAACACAAUAUUGAACCAAUUCGGAUUAUAGAAUCCAAUCAUUUAUGAGAUAAUUUCGGAUUAUAUAAUUAAAACUAGUUCACAAUGUGAACCGCAGCUUGGUCAGCAAGACUAACUCAUUAAAAAUGUUUUUUAAGUUGGUGAACGACGCUUGACUGGUCAGCAAGACUUGAAAACAAUUUUCGUACCAUGCAUUAAUGGACCAUUACCCUCUAUGAAAUGUACUUCACAAAUUCUCCUUCCGAAUACCCACUAAUACAUCACAAAUUCUUAUUUCAUCUCACAUUCUCUCGUUCUUUUUACUUCUACAAUGUGCUUCCAUAGUUUGUGUUUCAUACAAAAAUGUUACUCUAAUAUUUUAUGGAUUGUAUGAAUGGUCAAAAGGCAAAAAUUGGCACCAUCUGUUUGGAUGUAAGGUUGAUCAUCAAAGUCUAAUCCACUAAGAGAGGAAACAAACCUUACCCCAACCUCAUUCCCCAUUCAUCUUCUUGCACCGCAUGUUUAAAUGAUACUCCCUCCGGUCCUAUUUAUAAGAGAAAGUUAGGUCAACAAAAGUUGAUGUAUCUGAACUGAAUUUUUAACCGGAUACAUCAACUUUUGUUGACCCAAAUUUCUCUUAUAAAUAGGACCGGAGGGAGUAUUUGUACAACCAUUUUGGUACAACUUUUGUACAACUUUCUCUCUCAUACUCACAUUAUGUUUUUAUUCUCUCUCUUACUUUUUUUCUCUCCAUUGUGGUUGACCAAUAAGAAGGGAGAAUAUCAAGGUUGUCACAAAAAUUGUAACAAAAGAGUUGUUCAAAUAUCAUUACUCUUAUCAUUAUGUGUUAAAUAAUUUUGUGUAAUAAGCUUCAAUGACAAUGUAAAUAUACAAUAAAAGAUAUAAAUUAUUCAUAAAAUGAAAAUUUUAUUCAUUUAUCUUUUUAUAUUUUUGUCUCUUUUAGUUUCAGUCAUUUUCAAUUAUGCAUUCUUAAUAUUAUGUCAAUGUUGAUCAAUAAUUAUUGGCAAAAGAAGUUUUCAUGUUAUAGAAUAUGAAAAUCCCUGGUACCAAAAAAAAAAAAAAUCUGAAAAUCCCUCUAUAGGAUUUCAGAUUUUAGAAUCCGACCAAAUGGUAUUUUGAAGAGAGAAAAAUAGUGUGUCUAAGUAACUCAUGUUGAGAAAAGUAAUAGCCUUAAUUAUGUCUCCGAUAAACAUUUUAUUCCCUUCCGUUAAUCAGUUAAUCCCAAAUGUCUAAGGUGAACCAAUAUUAUAGGUGGUCUACCAUAAACCUCAUAACAAUUUUAAGGUCAAAUACCACUUUUGGUCAUUUUAGUUUGACAGAAUUCUCAAGUUAGUCAUUUAAGUUUCGAAAGUUUCAAUUAGGUCCUUUUAGUUUGACAGAAUUCCCAAGUUAAUCCUUUAAGUCAUAAAAUUCAGGGGAGCAAAGUAGAUACUCCAGUUUUCAGAGGCGGAGACAUAGUCAUGUCAAAAGCAUCCCACAUCCUAUUACCACCUACUUGAACUCAUCAAGCUUGGUAUGGACCAUUCACAGUAACAUGUGUAUGUAGUCUCGUGGAGAUCUGGGACAAUAUCAAAUGGCAUGCUAAGGUGAAUCGACACAAACUGAAGCAUGUUAAAGAUUGCAUCCGGAAAAUGAAAGUUGAAGAAGAUGAACCUGCUUUGAAGAGGUUCAAGGGCACAACAUAGACUUAUUCUCCAUGUUCAAGAUGUAAAACACGCAUUGAACGAGAGACAACCCAUUAAUUUAUUUUCUCCGUUAUUUGUCUUGUGUCAUUUUUGCUCGAAUUUUUUGCCGUCAAUUCUUUAUGAAUUAUCAGUCAUAUUAUAUUACACACUAGACAAUUUUUUUGGUACCUUGAGCCUUUUCAAUCCGCCCUUAUCAUCAUUAUAUCCUUUGCUAAAUCCCUUUGAGCUUCCAUGCAUUAUUUCUUUUGUUUUUUUUAUUAAGUAACAAAUCAUGUCACAAGUUUGAACUUUUAAUGCCAUCUAUUUGAUUUCUUUUAUAGUUAGAUAGAAUAUUUUUAAGAACUUGGUAUGAUUUGAAUAUAUGUUAGGGUUAUAAGGGAGAAAUGUAAUGGCAAAGAGGAAGAGCAAGAAAAGAGAUGAAAGAUGAAGGGACAUUAGGCAGACUCAAUCACGGUAGUUAGAAUGAUUGCCUUCUGUUUUGCAGUAAUUUGCAUGAGCUUCACUUUUCAAGUAGAGUAAAAAAAACAGGAAUAGAUAGACACAUUUCUUCUAAGUUUGAGUAGUGAGUGAUAACACUUCUAUGUAAUCCCUAAAAAAAAACACUUCUAUGUAAAAAAAUCACAUGGGAAAUCCAUUCCUAUAGUACACGUAAUUUUGAUCUGGAAGGUUGACUUUUCAACAAAAUAACCUAAAAUAAUUUGUUCAUAACAUAAUAGAGGAAUCUAGAAGUGUUCGCGGUGCGGUUUGAUUCGGUUUUGAGCAAAAAAGUCAUCCAAACCGCGCGAUAAAAAAACAUGUGGUUUGGUUCGGUUGAUUUUUAAAAAAUCAUCCAAACCAAACCAAACUAAACCAAUACGGUUUGGAUUGGUUCGGUUUGUGCGGUUUAUCGCGAGAUAAAAAAAAAAUAUUACAUUAACUCUAAUAUUUCCAAAUUGUUACAAAAUAAACAUAGAACGUUUUUUUAUUUAUUUUUAUAUGAUAAAAUAUUAGGUAAAACUCAUAUCAAAAUAGGUAAAAUUAAGAAGAAUUUAUAAGCAUGAAACAAAUUAUUGGAAAGUAAAGGAAACAAAUUUAAGUAAUAUUCAUUAUUCUUGCAGCUAUGUAAUUGGGCUAGAAACAUUUUAUUUUGAUGUUUAUAUCGAACAUGAUGGUGCAACAAUGGAAAAAUCAAAUCAAAAAAGAUUAUUCUUGAGCUAUGUAAUUGAGCUAGUACAUAUUUAAGUAAUAUUCAUUAUUCUUGCGGUUUGGUUUGGUUUGAUUCGGUUGCUGAGAUGCAAACCGCAAAUCAAACCAAACUGUAUGUUUUAGUGCAAAAGUCAUCUGAAUUCAUCCGAAAUCAAGUACGAUUUUUUACGAUUUUGAAUUGGUUUAAUUUGCCGUUUUUCUAUUGGAUUGGUUCGGUUUGAACGAUCUGCAUGAAUUCUUCUAGUUGAUUGUUGGACUAUUUUUAAUUGGCAAAGGCUUAGUUGUCCAUUUAUAAAUAUAAAUACUAUUAUUACAUUAUCCAAUCCAAUAGCACCAAAACCAAUAUAAUAAUGGUAAUUUGCAAUUUUGCACGUUUCAUUCAUUUAUUGGUGCCUUAAUUUUGGGUUACAGACCGACAUUGAUCAGUUGCUAAAAAACCACUGCAUCCUUAUUUUUUACGAGGUAGAUGCAUCGGACAAAUAAACCGACAAACAAAGCUAUUCAGAAAGUGCUCAGAAAUUUUUUGUGCCCCAACAGAAAAUAUUAAGAAAGUCUUGCUACACAGUGUCUUGUAUACAAGUGAAAUAUGUGUGGUAUUAUGCACAAGUUUAUUUUUACAAGUUGAUAUAAGAAUCUAAGUAUAUUUUUAUGGAAAAUUAAUGCUAACAAAUACUUUCAAAGCAUUGUUUAAGCAAUCAAUAUUAGUAACUUUUGCAUAGAAAUAUGUGUGAUUAUUAUUUUUUCAUAUGUUUUAUAUGUUUUCAAGAAAAUAUUUUUAUUUAUGGUUUUUUUAAAUAGUGUCCUUAGGUACUUGUUAGCAAAAUCUUAUUUAUAUAAGUUGAUCUAAGAAUCUCAUUAUUGUAUCGAGUGAGAUACGGCCAUACCGAAGCUUAUGGAUUCCAUAGUGGAAAAAUAACUUUUCAUCAGUGCAAUACUAUUUUAGUUGUAGAAUUUCUUUUCUUGUGUGUCCUAUUUCAGAUUUUAAAAUCCAAACAAUCGAAGGUUUAUGAAGGUUUUUCGAACAUUUUCGCACUGUUUGAAUUAUAUGAUCUGAAAUGUCAUAGAACAUGCGAGAAGCAAGUUGAAUGAAAUAAAAAACUCCUGCUCAAUAGAAUUAUUUUACUUGGUUAUUGUUUGAAUUUUAUUCUCCUUCAAAGACGGCAAUGUGCAAUUGUGCAUUUCAUCCGGAGAGUGGCAACAUCUCAUGCAUGUUCAUCUCAUAUAACUGAGAAGUCACAUGGCUUGGAAAAUCUUAAACCGAGAAAAACAAAAGGAGUAAAAGUAAUAAUAGUGAACCAAAGUGAAGAUGAACUUGUAGUCUAUCAAAAGAAGAUGAACUUGUUCGUCUUGGCAUAGUAACUCAUUUUUAUUCCUUGUUACCUAUGAAACACGGACAAUAGAUACAACACGGACACCAAUACGUUAAUACCGUUAAUAAUAUAAAAAAAUAGGUACAUUGAAUAAUUAAUGUAUUUGACCUAUAAAUGUGACCAGAUAUAUUAAUUAUUCAAUGUAUCUAAAAAGUUGGUUUUUGUUUAUAAAUAUGAUCAUAUGGAGUACUACUUUAGUGUAAUUUUAUGUAUUGGUACUGCGAGACAUCUAAUCUAAAGAGUGUCAAUGUUUUCACACAUAUUACUCACCAAAGUGCACACAUUAUAUGCAUUUAGGUAAACUGAGUUCAUCCAAAAUUGUAACCGCACAAACAGAGGGCCGCUAGGAAAUAUGAGGUAAAUUUGGAUUAUUCUUUAUCAAAAGCUUAUGACCAAAGAAAAACUAUACAAAAACUAAUGUUCAAAAAGUACAUAAAGUAAUAAUGCAAAGUCAAUGUGUAUAUAUAUUUCACCAUUAAAUAAAAGGGGAAAAAAAUCUCCAUACACAGCUUGCAAUAGCUACCAUCAUGGCCUAAAGCAAAUAUCAUAUGACCACUAAAAAACAAUAGAAAAUAAACAAAUAAAAAGAGAAAAACAAAAGAGAAAAUGGUAUAAAGAAAUCAUGUAGUAGUUAGUUUUUUCUCAAGAUGGGCAACUCAGCAGGGCUGCUAGGAGGAAAUUACAAAAGAACAUGACACUUAACUUCUCUAAUCAUUCAAAAUUUGUCAAGAUGCUGAUUAUAUAUUUUAAUUAGUAGUUAGAGAUUGUUAUAGUAACGUGUUCUAGCCAUCAAGAAUAAAACAAUGUCAUGGAAAAGAAGUGGCCUACUAGAAGAAUUAAUUUAAAGCAUUUACACCAAAAUAAAAACAAAUUGAAUAUUGGAAUUGGUCCUUCAUGAUAGCUUCCCCUUAACAACUAACUCUAACUAUAAAUACUGAAUCUUGCAUGCAACAUUUCAUAGUAAACACUAAGACCAAAACCUCUUCUUUCUAUCCAUGACUGCUAGGGCUAGUUGCCCCAAAAUGGGGCAUUUUUGGCCACAAAUGGCAAUGGCAUUGGCCAUUGUUUUGAUUUCUACUACUAUGGUUUCUGCUUCUGAUAGCUACAUUUACUCUUCGCCUCCACCACCUUAUGAGUACAAGUCCCCACCACCGCCGUCUCCCUCACCACCUCCUCCUUAUGUGUAUAAGUCACCACCUCCCCCAUCCUCGUCACCCCCACCACCAUAUGAGCACAAGGCUCCAUCUUAUGAGUACAAGUCACCACCACCACCAACUUCUUCACCACCACCUCCUUAUGUAUACAAGUCACCACCACCACCAUCUCCUUCACCGUCACCUCCUUAUGUGUACAAGUCACCACCACCUCCAUCCCCAUCACCCCCACCUCCUUACGUGUACAAGUCACCACCACCACCCUCGCCUUCCCCGCCCCCACCAUACUAUUACAAGUCUCCUCCACCACCCUCGCCUUCCCCACCGCCACCAUACUAUUACAAGAGUCCUCCACCACCCUCUCCUUCACCUCCACCUCCUUACUACUAUAAAUCGCCUCCACCACCCUCACCUUCCCCUCCCCCACCAUACUAUUACAAGUCUCCUCCACCACCAUCUCCCUCACCACCUCCUCCAUAUUACUACAAGUCUCCCACACCACCUUCACCCUCCUCUCCACCCCCAUAUAUACACAAGGAUCCACCAUACUAUUACAAGUCCCCACCACCCCCUUCACCAUCUCCUCCACCACCAUACUACUAUAAAUCUCCCCCACCACCCUCACCCUCUCCACCCCCACCUUACUAUUACAAGUCUCCUCCACCACCUUCACCAUCUCCUCCACCACCAUACUAUUACAAAUCUCCUCCUCCUCCAUCUCCUAUUCCCCAUACACCUUACUAUUACAAAUCUCCCCCACCACCUUCACCAUCUCCUCCACCACCAUACUAUUACAAAUCUCCUCCUCCUCCAUCUCCUAUUCCCCGUACACCUUACUAUUACAAAUCUCCCCCACCACCUUCACCAUCUCCUCCACCACCAUACUACUACAAAUCCCCUCCUCAUCCAUCUCCCAUUCCCCAUACACCUUACUAUUACACAUCUCCCCCACCACCUUCACCGUCUCCUCCACCACCAUAUUACUACAAAUCUCCUCCCCCUCCGUCUCCUAUUCCCCACACACCUUACUACUACAAGUCCCCACCACCACCAAAGGUCCUUCCACCACCAUACUAUUACAAUUCUCCUCCUCCAC